CUUCCCAUUUAUUUGCUGCCUAUAGUCUCACAGUGAUAUGAGCAAUUAUACACGUGGGAUAAAAUAAUAUUGGUACACUGUGAAAUAAUCAUUUCAUCUCUUCUGCAUGGACUAGACAUUG
ensembl:snoRNA